AUUGAACGCUGGCGGCAUGCCUUACACAUGCAAGUCGAACGGCAGCACGGGAGCAAUCCUGGUGGCGAGUGGCGAACGGGUGAGUAAAGUAUCGGAACGUGCCCAGUCGUGGGGGAUAACGUAGCGAAAGUUACGCUAAUACCGCAUACGAUCUAUGGAUGAAAGCGGGGGAUCGCAAGACCUCGCGCGAUUGGAGCGGCCGAUAUCAGAUUAGGUAGUUGGUGGGGUAAAGGCUCACCAAGCCCACGAUCUGUAGCUGGUCUGAGAGGACGAACAGCCACACUGGGACUGAGACACGGCCCAGACUCCUACGGGAGGCAGCAGUGGGGAAUUUUGGACAAUGGGCGAAAGCCUGAUCCAGCCAUGCCGCGUGCAGGAUGAAGGCCUUCGGGUUGUAAACUGCUUUUGUACGGAACGAAAAGGUUUGGCCUAAUAAGCUGAGCUCAUGACGGUACCGUAAGAAUAAGCACCGGCUAACUACGUGCCAGCCGCCGCUGUAA
rnacentral:rRNA from 1 species